UACGUAGGGGGCAAGCGUUGUCCGGAAUUAUUGGGCGUAAAGAGCUCGUAGGCGGUUUGUCGCGUCUGCUGUGAAAACUCGGGGCUUAACUCCGGGCCUGCAGUGGGUACGGGCAGACUAGAGUGCGGUAGGGGAGACUGGAAUUCCUGGUGUAGCGGUGAAAUGCGCAGAUAUCAGGAGGAACACCGGUGGCGAAGGCGGGUCUCUGGGCCGUAACUGACGCUGAGGAGCGAAAGCGCGGGGAGCGAACAGG
rnacentral:rRNA from 1 species